ACAGUGCAAAUUUAGUCUAGUUGUGCUCGCAUGACAAUUUUCUUGAUCAUUUGAAGACGAAUACAGGGAUUGUCACCACAUCAACUGUUGCAGAACAGACGUUAAAAAGGUGAGUAAAGCAGAAUACAAAAGUAAAGACUAUGAAAAAUAAAUUGUGUAACAUGUACAACUUCUUGAAAUAACUCAGGCUAACUUUUAUGUGAUAUCAAAGUUCAGACGGAAAUCCUCGUCUGUGAAAUUUUAUUAAAUUGAAAAGAGGAAAAGGGAAAACCCAAAGCAGUUUUUUUUAUGUUAUGUAAAUAAAAAAUUAUCUGGAUAUGUGCCAUUUUGAUAUGUAAAAAAAUAUCCUGCUGCUGAUAAUGGUACAGUGGUGUUUGAUGUCCAGUGGCAAAUAUCACAUACCAGUUCUGCCCACUUUUCGUGAAGCAAAUGCUUAAGAUUUGGCCAAAAUUGAAAAAAUCAAAGAGAAAAAAACAAUAAAUCAAAGGAAAAUGCCACAAAAAAGCAUGAACAUCUGCGAGUCUCACGCUAGACUUGGCAGCCCUGUCAUACAUAUAUUUAGGGACGACAAUAUGGUAAUGCAGACUCUCAACUAUCCAUAAUUUCCCCCUGUCAAAUUAGAUAUAUUCCUUAAUCAGAACUAAAGACAGACAGUGAAUCUCCUUGACAAUGCAAUUGACAAAAUUGUACAUCGUAAGAUGUGAGCUAGUUGCAAACAAUAUUUAGAAUUUACAUACAAGGUAAACAAACAAACAAAAACAACAGUUUAUGAAGGUUUAAACAUAGUUAUGUCACCUAGCAGUCAUCCUAAACAUUCAUGAAAUAUUUGCAACUGGACAUUAAGCAACCAACACAUCUGUGUAACUUUUUACCCCCAAGUUAAUGAUGGCAUGUAUUCUUGUUCCAACAACUACCUUCACAACUAUUUGAGAAUAAAUAAUACUUCUUGAAGCCAUCAUAUAUAGAUUUAAGAUGAUGUGGUAUGAGUGCCAAUGAGACAACUCUCCAUCAAAGGUCGCAAUUUGUAAAAGAAGACUGUUAUAGUUCAAAGUAUAGCCUUCAACACAGAGCCUUUUCUCACUUGGAACAGCAAGCUAUAAAGAGCCCCAAAAAUGACAUGUGUAAAACAUCUCAAAGGGAAAAACAACUAUCUAUUCUGAUCUAUAUAAAAAAAAGAUAUAAGAAACACUUAUGAACCACAUAAUCAAACAACAACCACUGAACAUCAGGUUCCUGAUUUAGAACAGGUGCAAAUAAAUGCAGCAGGGUUUAAACAUCAUGCAUGAAAGAAGAAACAACUACAACAGAAUCAAUAGAAAAAUUGUAAAGUAAUGCAGAUGAUAAGCAUUAAAACUUCUGUCAAAAAUUAUGUCAAAACAAAACUAAAAGUCUUAAACAUGUCCUGUCAAUUGUAUAUCUGUUCCUCCUCAUUCAAGUUUCUCUGGACAUUGUGGUUUUAACACUGAUGUAAUAAUAAGCUUUAUCUGUUGGAACAAAUACUCUAUACCAUUUAUUCUGUUAGAAACACAUGAUGCCACAUACUAAGAAACGUCAAAUAUGUUCAUGACAGUUCAACUCAAAAUUAGGUAUUCACACAUCACCUUUAAUCAUUUAAUCUAUUAUGACACCAAUAAUCCCAUUUUAUUUUAAUUAUAUCAUUGAUCCCCAUCGAAUUAUAAUAUUGGUUCACAUUUUAAAUAUAAUAUUGAUUCCCAUUUUAAAUAUAUUAUUGAUUCCCAUUUAAAUUAUAAUAUUGAUUCCCAUUUAAAUUAUAAUAUUGACUCCCAUUUAAAUGAUAAUAUUGAUUCCCAUUUAAAUGGAUUCUAAUAAUAAUGUAUACAGAAAGUCUUAGUUGAGAACAUGAGAUGGUAAUAAGUUACACAGCCAUUAACUAUCUAUCAUUCUGAAGAGUAUAAGGGACGACAUCAAAAGUUCAAUGCAGGAUAAAAAACUUAAUUCACAUAGUUUUUUCACUGACCCCCUGUCCCCCUCUUAACUUAAUUUGGGAAAAAUUGAUUGACCAAUAAGGAUAUAUGUAAAAUCAAUGUCAAUUUAUACAAAACUUGCAGCAAUUUGACCCCCCACUUGUACCUUUCAUUCUUACUCUGAUUGAUAUAAACUAAUAAGAAGGAUUAAGUUCUAAAGAGAUAGAUUAACUUUGCUACAUGUUAAAUUAACAUGCCUUUCACAACUUACACAAGUUACAGUUUUCGGUUUCGGUUUAUAUCUCUAUGUUUUUUUUUUGUCUUCUAAGAAAUUUGAUGAUAGCAUGGCUUGGUAGUCUUUAUUUAUUCUUAACUUGUCUGAACUAGGGUAAUUUGUAGCAUUGAUGUGGUAAAAACACUUUUUUAUUUGUAUGUUAAAAUUGAGUUUUAGCAAAGACUUUUGUGCUUAGUUUUUUUUGUAGGAUUUCUGUUUUUCUUAAUCUUAUUUUUAAGAAUGGUCAUAAUUGAUGAUAAUUUCCCUACAAUGUAGCUUUAAUCAUUUUUAUCUGCUGUUAUUUUAUACAUACAUAUGUGUGGUUUUUUUAUUACACUUGUCUCAUUAGACCUCAUUAGGGAAUUGUCAACUAGACUUCCCCAUUUAGAUUCCCUUGUGAACCUAGCCAGUUUGGUAUCUUCAUCCUGUUAUAUAUAUUAUAUGUACCCCUAUUUCCUUCCUUAUAUUUAGAAAAAUAAGCAAUCAGUAUUUUAUUUAUUGUACAUGUUGUAUCAUGUCAAUGAAUAAGUUCCAUGUACAUGCAAGAGAUCAUCUUAUUUAAGUAUCUAAAAUUAAUAGAAUUUCAUUGGUUGCUACUUUUCGUGGGAAUUUUAUUAUUGAAAUAUGAAUAAAUCUUGUGAAUUAGCAAUGUAAUUAAUUCAAUUGAUGAACCAUGAAGGACUCGGGUUACUUUAUACUGUAAACUAAUAUGGUUUGGUUUCAGUUGAAAACCAUCUACUAAUGAUGACCCAAUUAAAUAUUUUGUUGAAUAAGUAGAGUAUGUUUACAAAUACCUCAAUUGUUAAGUAUUAAUGAAAUGAUAAUUUAUUAAAGUCAUGUACCUACUUGCUAGACGGAUCAACUCCUCUAUUUUGAUUUUUGUGUAAAUUGAAUCCAUAUUCGACCUAAAAUUUUCCCCGAACUUGUGAGUCACUGUGCUAAACCACCGAUUUGAGUUCAGUUCCAGUAGAGUAAUAUCCAGAAUCACUUACAAGGCAUUAUUAAAUUGUGAUCAUGGUUACUGAAAGCAAAUAAAUUAUUGAGAGACUCACAUUUACUUUUCAUUACAAACUUUUGUGUUUCCCUCUAUCUGGUCACUAAUUCUAACAUUCUAGCUGCAAAAUUUUGAAUAUUUGGAUCAAUGAGUUAACAAGGUACGGUGUGAAGUGAAUUGAACAUCAACUAAUCUUCAUCGUUAGAUGAGUUUAUGAGAAUAGAAUUAAUCUGUUUCGACAUGCGUCCUUGCUAAUCUUAAGGCUAUAUAAUAAGAACUAAUAAGCUUUUAAAAAUAUCGCGUAUACUUAUUUUUACCCAUGUGAUUCAGCAAACACGACAUUAGUAUCUAAGAGUUGUCACAAUGUCUUUGGUUUACUAGAAUAAGUGAAAAUAAUAAAUCCUCUUAUCAUGGCCCACAAUGACAUUGCGAAUCUUCCAACAAUUCCUGAGAAAAUUCCAAGCGAAAUUUAAAACACUUAAAAAAAACUUGUGGAUAAGGGCAAAUUACAUCCUAAGAAUAUCGACAACUGUAGCCAGCAAGACUAUAGAACGUUUGAAAGACCCAUGAGUGCGAUGGAAUCAGCAUAAAUACAAGGUGGCAAAGUGGAGGAUUAGGAUUUCAAAAUGAGAAGUUUUUUUCUUCAAUUAUUCUAUUGAAAUAUUCUUCUUUAUUUAAAAAUCCGCAGACACAAAUUAACAUUGGUAGUAAUAAACCAUUAUUAUCUCCAUUUUACCAUUAUCCUCUAUAUAAAAACCGAUCCAAAGUCUUUUAACAAAAUCAAACAUGCAGUACAGGAUUCAUGCCAUAAUCAUCAUACACUACCGCUAAGAAAUUACUAUAUAUUUGGCGAACAGUUUCAGGAAUGGUGGAUGAUUACACACAUGUGUGAUAGACUAGUGGCAGGCAACCUGUCCAGAUAUAUCUGGUACUGAAAACAUGGUUAACAUAGUCAAAAACCCAAUGAAUAUCUAAGAAUUGAUCAGGUCAGAUAAGUUGAAUGGAUCCACAUACAAAUAUAUCUAUCUGAGACAUCGUUACCCUAAAGGUGAUAGCCUUGGAGCCCAAUUAGUAGAGUCUGUAUACAAAUAUUACUAGAAAUGAUACAAAGGGAAUAUGGANNNNNNNNNNNNNNNNNNNNNNNNNNNNNNNNNNNNNNNNNNNNNNNNNNNNNNNNNNNNNNNNNNNNNNNNNNNNNNNNNNNNNNNNNNNNNNNNNNNNNNNNNNNNNNNNNNNNNNNNNNNNNNNNNNNNNNNNNNNNNNNNNNNNNNNNNNNNNNNNNNNNNNNNNNNNNNNNNNNNNNNNNNNNNNNNNNNNNNNNNNNNNNNNNNNNNNNNNNNNNNNNNNNNNNNNNNNNNNNNNNNNNNNNNNNNNNNNNNNNNNNNNNNNNNNNNNNNNNNNNNNNNNNNNNNNNNNNNNNNNNNNNNNNNNNNNNNNNNNNNNNNNNNNNNNNNNNNNNNNNNNNNNNNNNNNNNNNNNNNNNNNNNNNNNNNNNNNNNNNNNNNNNNNNNNNNNNNNNNNNNNNNNNNNNNNNNNNNNNNNNNNNNNNNNNNNNNNNNNNNNNNNNNNNNNNNNNNNNNNNNNNNNNNNNNNNNNNNNNNNNNNNNNNNNNNNNNNNNNNNNNNNNNNNNNNNNNNNNNNNNNNNNNNNNNNNNNNNNNNNNNNNNNNNNNNNNNNNNNNNNNNNNNNNNNNNNNNNNNNNNNNNNNNNNNNNNNNNNNNNNNNNNNNNNNNNNNNNNNNNNNNNNNNNNNNNNNNNNNNNNNNNNNNNNNNNNNNNNNNNNNNNNNNNNNNNNNNNNNNNNNNNNNNNNNNNNNNNNNNNNNNNNNNNNNNNNNNNNNNNNNNNNNNNNNNNNNNNNNNNNNNNNNNNNNNNNNNNNNNNNNNNNNNNNNNNNNNNNNNNNNNNNNNNNNNNNNNNNNNNNNNNNNNNNNNNNNNNNNNNNNNNNNNNNNNNNNNNNNNNNNNNNNNNNNNNNNNNNNNNNNNNNNNNNNNNNNNNNNNNNNNNNNNNNNNNNNNNNNNNNNNNNNNNNNNNNNNNNNNNNNNNNNNNNNNNNNNNNNNNNNNNNNNNNNNNNNNNNNNNNNNNNNNNNNNNNNNNNNNNNNNNNNNNNNNNNNNNNNNAAUUUUUCGAAAAACUAAGGAUUUUCUUAUCCCAGCAUGGAUUACCUUACUAGUAUUUGCACAACCUUUUGGAAUUUUGGACUCAAUGCUCUUAACUUUGUACUUGUGGCUUUAUAAAUAUUUUGAUAUGAGCGUCACUGAUGAGUCUUAUGUAGACGAAACGCGCGCUGGCGUACUAAAUUAUAAUCCUGAUACCUUUGAUAACUAAUUAUACUCAUGUCAUGAUAAGGUGUUUUACUGGUUGGCAUGCUACUUCAAUCCUCUAGGAGAAUUCAGUAGAUAUUAGUUUUGGUUUUAAUAGUUAUUGCGGACAUCACUUUUAUAUGAUGAUGAUGUGUACACAACUUGAUCUUCAUUUUCUGACAGGCGAUCAUACAUUUGUUUUUGUACAUGUAUUAAUAUAAGAAGGUUUCACCAGAAUUAAAUACAUGACUUGACCCUUGGAAAUUUGCUGAUGCUUAAAGAUUUACUUAAUUCAUAUACGAAAUCAGAACGUGGGAGUUGUGCAAAGCUAAAUGGAAGGGUCAAUUUCAUAUGAUCGCUGACCAUUAUUACGGUGUUUGCAUAAGUUGAAAUUAUUUAACAUUUAACUUAAGGAUGUACUUAGGUGAGGUUAGGUAAAAAUAAAGAAAUUAAAAAAAUUAAAUUGAUACUAUAAGCUGGUAGAGCAUCAGUUAAGGAUAAAGAUAUUGAUAGGUCAUGGGCCUCCUUUUCGAGAUAAUUGAGAUUUAAAAUAUGGCGGGAAAAGGCUGACUCAGACUUUUACCUUAUAUUUGCAUUGGUAUUAUUUGGGUCUCAAAACAAAAGAAAGAAAAUCAAGAAAUCUUCUAAAAUUUUGAUAAAUGACCUUUCAUGAGCUAUUAAGUCUUAUAUGAAAAAUUAUGGUGUUAUGGGGCAAAAUAUUUUACCUUGUAUUGUAUGGAAAAACACCAAGGAGUCCGAUAUUUGACACAAAUUCCAAAACCUCACCUAAGCACAUCCUUAAGACAAAUGCUUCAUUUUGGUGAAUAUCAAGAAGGUCCUUAACAGUUUGACAUAAAUUCUUCGUUAUAUGAUUGAUAUUACAACAUACAUUGGUUGUUCAGUUGGUGCAAACUUUCCAACCCUUCUAUAUAUUCUUAUUCUUACAUGAAGCAUCAUGUUUUAAAGCCUUGAGAAAGAAAAGAUUAUAAUAUCGUUGUUAUAACUAUCAUAGUAUAUGUCAAAUAAGUAUUGACAAUGUUUUAUGUUACAUAUAUCUAUGAAUUAAAUCAAAUUCAGGGGAUAAAAUCAAAUACAAUUUGAUAUUUGACCAUACAUAUUAAAUUUCACGCGAUUAUUUAGUAAAAUAUCAUUAAAAAAAAAUAUGAGUUUUUGACCUUAAAAAUCUAUAUGAUUAGAAUUUUCUAAAAUACUAGUACAUUUAUUGACUCAGCCCCCUAGACCAAAGUGUUGUGCCAAUACUUUAAAUAACCAUAUUCGAAAUGCCAGUUGUUAAAGUUGGUUGAUUGAUUAUUAUUUGCUCUAUGUCUAGGGGAUUAAAAUGGAAGUAGUAUUUGAUAUCAUUCCAUUUGUUUAUAUACUGUUUUAUGAUAAAAACAUAGGCCGAACAAAAAGGAGUAUGUAGCGAUAACCAGUUUGCAUGAAAUUAAUAUCAAUAAUGGGCAUAAAGAGUAUUUUGUUUGGAUAAAACGGUGUUGACCAAAAUCUUGUUUUAUCAAACUUUCUUGCUAGAUAGAUAAACCUCUAAAUGUCAUACAACCGUCUACAAAAAAGUACAUAGGAACUAAAUAUUGAGCAAUACGUACCAAACCAAAAUCCUAGGGUGAUCGCAGGCGAUAUCGGCAAUGUUUCCUUAUUUGUAAAUCUUGUUUUUUGCUGAUAAUGUUUGCUAUUGACAGUUUAAUAUUUGAUAAUGGCAGUUGUUAUAUAAUAGUUCGUUUCUAUGUAUGUUGCAUUGCCCUUUUUUUUGUUGCACUUCAGUGUUCUUUUUGUUCGUUGUUUUCCUCUUAUAGUUGAUGUGUUCCCUCAAUUAUAGCUUGUAAACCGGAUUAGUUUUCUCUCAAUCGAUUUAUCACCAGCCCAAUAGUCAACACUUCGGUGUUGACAUGAAAAUCAAUAAUGUGGUCAUUUUUAUAAAUUUCCUCGAAAAACUCAGGAUUUUCUUAUCCCAGGCAUAGAUUACCUUAGCCGUAUUUGGCACAACUUUUUGGAAUUAUGGAUCCUCAAUGCUCUUCAACUUUGUACUUGUUUGGCUUAGUAUAUAUAUUGAUAUGAUCGUCACUGAUGAGUCUAAUGUAGACGAAACGCGCGUCUGGCGUACUAAAUUAUUAUCCUGGUACCUUUGAUAACUAUUCAUGACUUGUUAAUAGCGGUAAACUACUGUUGCCUUUAUUUAUAAAUCACAGGCAAUUAUCUCUGAAAAAAGGCCUUUCCAUUAUACUUGAUUUUCAGUGUCUCUAGUGUCAAUCUAUCUAUAAAGUUUUCCAAAAUUUUGAAAACAAAUCGUUAUUAAAGGACAAUAGUUCAUAUACGGAUUUUUCUGAUGACUUUAACCAUGUUGAGAUAGUUAGAGAAAAUCUGAAAAAAAGCAAAAGUUUUUUAAAAUGAUAAAUAAUUGAUAGAAACUUUCAAAAGUGUAACAUGAUCAACAACACAAGAUCUGCAAAUAGGUCAGCAUAGAUGAAAUUGUCAACUGUACUUUAUGGUAGAAAUUGAUCUUAAAUGACGAAUUAUAUGUUUUGGGCUAACACGCUUGAACAAUAAUAAUGGAAGAAAAACUGUAAACAGAAAUAAAUGAUCAGCAAUACAAGUUCAACAAGCUAGAAACUGUAAAGAUCAUGUGUUGUGCACCUGCAACAAUGGUUGCCCUCUACCAUUGUAGUUGAUUUCGUCUUGAUUGUUAUCUUUGCUGUUUACAAUUUUUUCUGUAUUCCUCAAAGUGUUUAUAAAAAAAAAUUAAAACUGAUAUAAAGUAUUUUUUAAUAGCAAUAUCUCCUAUAAAGAGAUGACUGACAAUUUCAGGAACCUUGAUAUAUUGUAGACCGUGUCUUGCUCGUCAGAUUUUAUGUUUUCUAUUUUUCUGUCAGGAAUAUCAAUUUAUAGACAAACUCGCAAAACGUUGGUUACUAUCGUCGUGUUAGGGCAAUAAUUCCUAUAUAGAGCUGUUGACUGAAGAUGUAAGCCAUGUUGAAAUAUAAGUUGAUCUUGUCUUGCUGAUUUUUUUUGCUAUCAAAUUCCUAUAUAUGUUUUAUAGCGCAAACGCUAUCUAUCGAAACACUGUCAUUUAAGGGCAAUAUAUUACUUUUGGACUAUUUUAGAUUUCGGUCUAUUUCUGAAAUUUAUUUUUACAUACUUUUGAGUUUUUAACCCUGUAUGCUAACAUUGCCUAUGUGAAAUUUUAAAAUUGUUUGUAUGUAUACAUUGAACGACAAAUAUAUGUGACGUAUAAAAUUGUCUGACGUCAGAUAUGCAAAUCACUGAAUGUGUUUGCAGAUAGAUGUUUUUGUGUUCUGUUAAAUUGUUCCUUUUAAAAUUGUUACACGAUGAUAACUGCUGUACCCUUAUUUUGACUAUUUUCUUUAUUGUGUCCAGGUUUAAUCCACCAUUUUCUACAUUUGAAAAUGCCUGUACCAAGUCAGGAAUAUGACAAUUUUGUCCAUUCGUUUUUGAUGUGUAUUGUUAUUUGAUUUUGCCAUGUGAUUAUGGACCUUUCCGAAUUGAUUUUCCUCUGAGUUCAGUAUUUUUGUGAUUUUACUUUUUACCCCUACAAAAUGAACGGCCAACGAUUUCAAGGUUUUAGUAGCCACAAAUCAAGUUCAACCCACCAUUAUUUUUCUUAAAAUGUCCUGUACAAAUUCAGGAACAUGGAAGUUUCUAUGAAAUAGUUCGUUUCUAUGUAUGUUGGUGUCUGUUUUUGUUGCACUUUAGUAGUCCUGUUGUUCCUUUGUUUUCCUCUUAAAGAUGAUAUGUUUCCCUCGGUGUUUGUUUGUUUUUCCCCGGAUUUUGUUUUCUCUCAAUCUGUUGAUGACGUUCGAAUACUACUGUUGCCUUAAUUAUUCAGGAAUUUUACUUAUUUCAAGGUGUAUCUUGUCUUGUGGGUCAUUUUAACUGAUCAAAUAUCUCUCUAACCUUAACAGUAAUUUAAAUAUCACAAUCGUUGAUAAAAAUCGAGAGCAAUAACUCCUGUAAAGUUUUAUCUGACAAUUUUGGCCAUGUGGCUUAUUUGUUGAUCUUCUUUUACACGAGGAGAAGUUCCAUCUGAAUGCUAGUUCUUGUGCUCGCAUUUAUUAUGAAACAUCUAGAAGCUGGGAAUUCUAUAUUUAAUAAGAAGUUCGUUUGAAAUUAACAUAUACAUAUCAGGUUAGAGAGCAAGUAGUUCACAUGAACUCCCUUCACUUUUAUCUUUUGUAUGCUAAUAAUAUACCAAAAAAAGAGAGAUAAUUAACAGCUUUGCAAAAAUAAUGCACAGUUGCACAAUGUUUAUACUCGAUCAUUACUUGCAUUUCAUGAAUGCUGUCAAAAUUUAGAAUAUACCUUGACAUUGUACUCUGUUGAAAGCUAUCUAUCGAUUGAAUUUUAAUUAUAGAUCUACUAUGGUAUAAUGCAUGCCCUCUGUGUGUGAUUGUUGUGACGUCAAACUUUGAUCUGAUCCAUUUUACCAACAUUAUUAAAUUUCCUUUGUUUGAUUUGUGAAUGUAAUUUAAAUCAUUCACUCAUAUUCAUAAAAAUAUAUAUAUAUAUGAUUAAAAAUAAAUAACACAAUGUGUAAGGGUAAUUCCUUUUUAUCUACCUGUGCGUUCCACCUUUUGCCUCAUAUACCCGUCAGGUAGUGAGUGACUAGGUUUGCUUCAUUAAGUAAGUGCUGUAGGAGACGUUCAGUCCCAAUUAUUAUUACAGACGAUCUUCGUUGACAAUUUAAGUGAACGAGAUAGAAAAAAAAACAUUUUAAGACGGGGAAUAUACAUGUGAUGAAGGAUAUUUAAAUUUCAUAUAAACAUAUAAAUAUACGGAAUAACUCGCACUGGUAUCGCACACUGCAACACAAUUUAACAAGUAAGCAUUAUUAAAUAAAAAUAAUAAAAUAAUUAGAUGUUAAAUUUAAAGCGAACUUAAUAAUUGUACAAUUUCUGGUCCUUUUGUGUCAAGUUUUCAAUGCGAAGGAUUUUUAAAAAUUAUUUCUAUUUCUAAGACAUGAGUGUUUUGUGUAAUAAUCAACCCUGUAACCAUUUAAUGGUAAAGGGAUAUAUAGGAAUUAACAUGUUUGUUGUCUAAAGUAUAUAUUUAUUUUCCUUUUCCAUUCAAUUUGCAUAUCCAAGAAAUUAUAUAUACUUUCAGACUGAAAAACAAAUAUUAAAUUUGCAGUUUUAGUCACAACUUUCAGAAACUUAUGUUUCAUCGGAUGUUCUUGAGAAAUUAACACUUUCAUUACUUUUUGUGCCUUUAUACACCAUACAAGUAUGAUUAAUUAAAUCGCGUUUGUUUUUGUUGCAUUUCGGUGUUCCUGUUGUUCCUUUGUUUUUAUUGAAACUUUUGUGUUUCCGUCGGUGUUGGUUUGUAAGACGGAUUUGUUUUCUCUCAAUCGAUUUAUGACUUUUGAACACUGGUAUACUACUGUUGUCUUUAUUUACAUUUAAAAAAGGUAUACCUGCACCCAAUUUCUUUAAAAAAAUAAUACAUAAUUGACUUUAAAUAAAAUAAAAAAGUAACAAAUAAUUAAUUAUGUCUAAUGUCAAAUUAUUGAAAAAUAUUUAAGACUUAGAUAUCGGUCAAUCAAAUCAUCAUAGAUACCAGGAUUUUGAUUCUGUUUGCCAGACGUGCCUAUGAUAAUGGUUACUUAGUAUAUAUAUUAAAAUGCAGGCCUAGCAACAUAAAAAUCAUUAUUGGUAUACAUAAAUGAUUUGAAUACAAACAGUACCAAGUCAGGAAUACGACAGUUGUUGUCCAUUCGUUUGAUGUGUAUUUUUGUGAUUUAAUUUUUUUAUGGUAUCAGAUCAUAUCACAUUCUCAUCUAUUUUUAUGAAGUUCAAUGACAUCUGAGUCUUAUAAAUAUGUUGCAAUAACGUGAUAUUCUACAGAAGUAUCUACAUUACAUCUUGUGUUUAACUUAAAGGUGCUUAUAAUCUAAAAGGAAAUAGGCUAAAUGUAUUUGUUAUUACACUCAAAGAAAUAACACUUUAAAAUGUUCGUGUUUCCAUGGUAUUCCCAUGUAUCAGGUACACUCAUACCUACACGUUCGAAAGUCUGGGAUAUGUAUAUAUGUAUAUAUAAUCACAGGCAAUUUGUUUUACCUAAUACACCCUAUAGAAGUGUUAUAUUAAAGUAUAUAUAUAUGUAUAGGUGCAAAAAAUAGAGACGACUGCCUGUGGAAGAAACGUUAAGGGCUAUUUGAUACUAAUUAAGGAAACUUGUAAUAGAUUGGAUUCAUAUUAUUUCGUUACAUGCAUUCAUUGUAUACAAGUGUGUUUAAUUUGUUUUAUUGGACGAAAACUUAGUUUAAGAAUUGAAUUAUAUCUUCCUUACAAUAAAUACUCGUAUAUUUUUUUUUUACCUGUUUAAAGUGGAAAAACAAGAACGAUAUUUGAGCCUCAAUAUGGACUUCAAAUAUCUUAAUGUAUGUCCCAAAUACCUCAACAAAUCAUUUACGAAAGCUAAACAUAAUUCUGCGGCUGCGUUUAAGUUUAUAAUUCAUGUAUAAUAUAAAAAAAAAGGAAGAACAAACGGUUGAAACGUUUAGACAACUACUUGUAAUGUUUAGCAAAUAAAUUGAUGUUUACGUCAACUUCUGGCUUUUUUAAAGUUAGAAAAAGUCAACAAAAUUGAAUGGCUGAGAAGAAAGUAUGCUUUUAAUUUUUAAUUUUAAUAGAAAUAGUUUAAAGCUUUCAAAUUGUAUUUCUGAUGAUUGUGCGUGUGUAUAUAAAACUCUUUUAGGCAUUACAUGGCAAAUAGUAGUGUUAUUGCUAUGUUAUAGAAUUUUCCAAUGUCUGAAGGUUAUGUCGGACGAAUUGAAUUAAAAUGUUAUUUUUACUUUAUCGACUGAAUACCGUCAUUUGACAUGGACUCCAACAAUGUCACAUAGUCAUUCAAACUUAGAUUUUUACUGGCCCUGAGUUUGAAAUUGACUUUUGAUAUAAAUCUGAUUAUGUCUGUCUCUCCGAAUAAGUCAUCUCCGGGUCAAGGUAUAGUAAAAUUACAUCAUGGAUUUUACAGGAUAAGAUUAUUAGAUUUCUAAAGGCCAAAUAAAUGCCAGCCAAUAAUUGUUUCGUGGGAUCUUUAUCAAAACGGUUGUUAACAAAUACUUAACACUGUAACCAAUCUUCUGAACAGAAGCACAUUAUAUUCUCUUUGAAUAUUAUUCUACGCGUAACUGAUAAAACCAAAUCUAGUUCCAUAAACAUGCAAGUACAACUGUGCAAAACUUCAUUUUACUUCAAAAGACAUGUUAGUUGACCGUUAAUCAAAAUAUUGGUAAAAUCUGAUAUGAAAAAUUUCAUUCAUUUCAAUUUUUAGAUUUUAGUCUGCAGAAAAUAACAGAAUGUCAGAGCCACUUACAUUGCCACCAUGUCGAGUGUGUGGAGGAACAGCCACAGGAAUUCAUUAUGGUGUCAAUACAUGCGAGGCAUGCAAGGUAUGGAGUAUAAUUUGAACUAGCGAGAGAAUGUGAUAGUUAUGAUAUCGAACAUAUAAAAUAAAGCCUUUAUAGAAAGGGUUACAUAUAGAUACGCUGAUUAUCUAAUCAUGGUAUCAGCACAUGCCAUUCAGACAAAUAUACAAAUAAAGGCAACAGUAGUAUACCGCUGUUCAAACUCAUAAAUCCAUGGACAAAAAACAAAAUCGGGGUAACAAACUAAAACUGAGGGAAACGCAUUAAAUAUACGAGGAGAACAACGACACAACACUACAAUGUAACACACACAGAAACGGACCAAUGUAGUUACUACUGUUGUAAGAACAAUAUCUGAUUUUGUAUAGAAACAUGUUCUAAGUUAUCAAAUAGCAUUGUCUAAUGAUUAAAACUGGUAAAAAAAGUUCUUGAUUUGUUUGUGAUGGAAUCUUAAAAAAAAAAACUCAAGAGAUGCAACGGAAUACCAUAAAUAAAUAUGUGAUUUUUAAUAUAGACUUCACUUGAAAUAAAUUUUUUUCAAAUUUGAAGUGUGAAAAAAUUUACUUGCAGGCAUUUUUCCGAAGGUCUUUGGUAGAAAACAACAAGUAUGUUUGUCCAAGAGAUGGUGACUGUAAGAUUAUCAACCAUAAAAGAGCCAACUGUUCUGCCUGUAGACUUAAAAAAUGUCUGGAGUUGGGCAUGUCCAAAAAAGGUAAUGUAACGGACUUUAAAUGAUUGAAUAAAAACAAUAGAUACAUGGUUUACUAAAUAGUUAAAGAACAUUUGAGUUGAGUGUCAGUUUAAAGGCUUCAAUUGGAUAUUUGAAAAUGCUGUGUUAUUGUGCUGCAUUUUUAGGACACAAUGUAUCAAUAAAUGUCAAUAUCCACAUUUUCUAAUUUAUACAGACUAUCAAUUAGACAAAAUCUUACACACAUUAGGCAUCCUAACUUUUCUUUUCGAUGUUAAUUUCUAUGGGUUACUUUGAUCGAUUUUGGGUCCGCAUGAUCAGUUGGUUUUGUUCUAAUAGUUAUCAAAGGGGUCGGUUUCACAAAAUAACUUAUGACUAAGAUAAGUCUUAAGUCAUGAACAAAUCAGUAUACUUACGAUUAAUCUUAGUCGUAAGUUUUUUUGUGAAAUCGACUUCAGAAUUAUAGUUUUAUUACGCCAGACGCGCGUUUCGUCUUCAUAAGACUCAUCAGUAACGCUCAUAUCAAAAUAUGUAUAAAGCCAAACAAGUACAAAGUUGAAGAGCAUUGAGGGUCCAAAAUUCCAAAAAGUUGUGCCAAAUACGGCUAAGGUAAUCUAUUCCUGGCAUAAGAAAAUCCUUUAAACAGAAGUGAUAUAACACUUACUGGAAUACUAUGUUCAAUAUGCAUUAUAUGACAAAGUUAAGUAUAUUUGUAUAUUUGUUAAUGUGUGUAUGUUUGUAUUUUACAGCUGUGCGUCAUGGUCGAUAUACUGUUGCCAUUAGAACAAAGACCAUUUUAGAAGUGAAACAACUUGAGAGGGAAAAGGCAUUGAAUGAUACCUUUUCUAUGGCUGAUUCGGUUGCUAAAAAGUUACCAGAAAUUAUCUCAGUACCCGAAAGUGACAUAGUUACAGAUUCCUCUGUGCAUGAUAACAUUCUCUCCUUCCUGGUAGAAGGUUCAUCAAUGGAGCGUACAAAUUUCACAUCAAAUGACACUUUACAAUCAACAGUUAUAGGCAGUAGCAUGCUAUCUGUUGGUGAUUCUUUUCAUUCUACCAGUAAUUCAUUACAGUCUGCCAUUGAAGACAAUCAUGGGAACAUGACAUCACUAGAGCCAUCAUCUCUAUUUACAUCAAUUGAAAAUGCGAUAGACUUUGAUAUGUUCACAAACCCGAAUGACAUUGACAUUCUAAACUCAACUGACCAUGACAUUGAAAAUAUUGAAAUAUCUGGAUUAGACAUGUUCUUAAAUGGGCAAAACGUGAAUACAUCAGAUAAGAUAGAUUUCUUGGAAUUGAAUCCAGAUGAAUUGAUAGAUCUGACUCAAGAGUUAGUUGACGUUUUCCCUCCCCAGACAUCAAUCAGUACUGAAGUUCCACAACAACAGAGUCCACUAAGCAUAGUUAGUAGUCCCUUCAGUGUGCAACAGUAUAGUCCAGAUACUACCACAUUAGACGAGAGUAUGUCGUCACAGUUUGGAUCUCAAAGUACAUGUAAGUAUCUUAUUAAGCACUAUUCAAAAGUACCAAUACAGAAAAAAACAAAAGUGAAAAUAAAAUAUAAUAUACAUAGAUGUUUGUAUAGAUGAAUGAGAGCGCAACUACUAGUAUAUGACAUACAAUCGUUCAGAGAUCAACAAAGGGUUUAAACUAUAGAUCCAUUAGGGGGAGGGAGGGGUGAUACAUUCAUAUUUCCAGAUUUCCACUAUAAAUUACAAAACAAGCCUGUCUAUUCAGGAAUAAAAGAUAUUUUCGUAUUUUCCUUUUCAGCAUGCAUUGAAUUGGUGUCAAAUACAAGUCGUUUACCAUCAAGGAAGAAUACACGUUCACCCAUUGAGCUAGAGGAUAAUAGCAUGUCACCUCGUCCACAAAAGAAGUUAAGAGCUUCAUUCAACUUAGCAGACGACAUGGAACAAUUACAAUUGAUAAAUACCAUGGUUUCUGCACAAGAAAUGUUAUAUCCUGCAAUGAGGAAACAUUUCCAGAAAGAAUACACAGCCGUCAUUCACAGAGAAUUCUGGGUAAAUUUUGAAAUCCAUCAUAGCUUUGAUGUAUUUAUGAUGAAAAAUUAAAUCAAAAACGUUAUAGUCAUUCACAGGGAGUUCUGGGUAAACUUUGAAAUACAUUUCUAGCUUUGAUGUAUUUAUGAUAAAAUUAAAUCAAAAAUGAGUAUGAUAUGAAAGGAGACUAACACGUAGGACCUUGAAGCAGUUAGUUAUAAUUUGAGAUCAAUUUAAAGAAUUAUACGAAACAAAGAAAGAGGCUUUGUGUCUAUAUAUGGAGUAUGAUGGAUCAAUCAUUCUGCUUAUGUUUGCAACUAAACAAAUUGUUAAGAAACUCAUAAAAAUACACAUUUUUUUACGAUGUCAUCAUCACGUUUUAGUUGACAGGCACGAUAUGUUUAUGUUACAACUCACUAGUGACAUGUUUUAGUGGUCUUAGAUCUUUAUAUACCAGAUUAUAAUACUCUGACAUGUGAAUUCAUUUAUAUCUUUUGAAUGGAUACUGGUAAACUACUGAUGCCUCUAAUUUCGAAAUCAGUUGCAUAGCAUACACAACUUGAAUAUUUAUUUUCAUUUCAGGAGAAAACACAGUUACAAAAUGAACUAUUUGGUCAAUUGAAGAGCCUCUCAUCAACUGAAUACAACAACUUUUUCAUGGUGACUGGGAUUGAUCUUGAUGGACGCAUUGGCUUGUUCACUAAGUGUGCAGAAUCUAUGCAGAAAGAAAUCGUCAAAUAUAUUUCCUUUGUCAAGACAAUACCUGGCUGGGAAGAUGUUCAUAAUAAUGAUAAACUCACACUUAUCAAAGGUUCGUUAAAAUAGUUUGCACCACUCUUAUAGAUAGGGUACUGUUUCAAACAAAAAAAACAAGACAAUGUUUUAGUGUUAUUCUAGCACACAUAUGGCAGAUUGUUGUUUUUCGAAUGAUAAAUUCUAUAUCUACCAUUUUUAAGAUCAUUUAAAAAAACCGUACAAAGGACGUUAUGUAUUAUACCUUUGAAUAGUUGAUAAGUGUUGAUACUGAGUGAGGGGCGGAAGAUACCAAACGAACAUUAAAACUCAUUAACCGAAAAUAAACAUACAACGACAUGGCUAAAUAAAGGCAACAGUAGUAUACCGCUGUUUGUAAUCCAUAAAUCUAUUUAGAAAAAAAAUUUGUGUAACAAACUAAAACUGAGGAAAACACAUCAAAUAUACGAGGAGAACAACCACAAAACAGAAACACUAAAAUGCAACACAUACAAAAACGGAACUAUAAGUUAACAAAGGCCAUUUUCCUGACUUGGUACGGGUCAUUUUAAGAACACUUGGUAGGUUGAACCUGGUUUUGUUGCUAGCUAAACCUCCUGCUGUAAUGCAAUGUUACAUAUUAUACUAAAAUGAAAACAUUACAUGACAAAAAUACAAUACAAAUAAAUGGAAGAACAAACAGGACAGAUACAUACACAAAUAAACAAAACAAUAGGACAUUACGACAAGCUAAUAGUUGUUAAAGGUGCUAGAAAAGAAAAAAAGACAAACAGACUAACAAUAGUACAUAAAACACACCAUAGAAAAAUAAAAGACUAAGCAACACGAACCCCACCAAAAACUAGGGGGAAUCUCAGGUGUUCAAGAAGGGUACAUUGCUGCAAUAUGCCUUAGAUGAAUAACACUUACCAUCCAUUAAGAAAAGUAUGCGCUAAGAAGUCUCCAGUUAAUAAGGUAGAUCGCGUAUUACGGGAUUGUGGUUAAGAUACCAAUAAUAUUAAGACAGUUAUACAGGAAUAAAAUUAAAUCCGAAUGUUAAUGAAUUUAAUUUGUUUUUCUUUUAGCUGCUAGAUUUGAGUAUUGGCUACUUGGAAAGUUCGUGAAUCAUAAUCCUGAUAAGAAGUUUUCAGCUGAUGAAAAUUGUGGACUCACUCACAAACAGAUUGAACAAAUGUGGGGGAGUCCUGAAAAUAUUGAUGCUGUUAGUAACUUCACAAGGAAGCUAAAGAAACUUGAUUUGUCAUUUGAAGAGAUUGCUUUGCUUAGAGGAGUAGUAGUUCUGUCUAGAGGUAAGAGAGAUAACUCUAAUAUUUCAAUAAUGAAUUCAUCGGUCACAAGUAUAAAUAACAUACUCAUGCAAGAAUAUUAUCCCUUCAUGUGCAAGAAUAAUAAGGGAAAUCAGAAAUCCAUUACAACCAGCAUACUUAUGAUUAGAUGCAGAAGUAGUUAGACGAUGUUCACAAGGUUCAAAAGUCGAAAAUCAAAUUAUUAUCAGCUCAGUUGUCAGUGUUUUUUUGGUAAUGUCAUGAUUUUAGCAUGUAUUGUUUUUAAUUUUAUGUUGAUUAUAAAAAAAAUGAUGAUAAACUAAGAUUGAAACUCCCUCGGGCAAAGUUGACCUUAUGUGAGUUUGGCUUUUCUUUUUGGUUCUUUGUUUGGUUUUAUAGCUCCGAGCGUUUUUAUAAUCAUAAUUUUAUGAUGUGUCAUACUUACAUAUUUUUAUUCAUAUAUGAUAAUGAGCAGUUUGCAAAAAUCAAUAAUAUGUCAGGAUUUUCUUUGACCUUUCAAUUCAUAACUGGAUAAUUACCAUAAAGAGAUGCUUCUAAAAAUGUCAUGUAGAUUUAGGUAUGAAUGCCGUUUAAAACUUUCGCCUCUUGUUUGGCGAUGAAAAGUUACAAUAUAAAUAAAGACAUUAAAUAAUUCGUCCUAUUAGGAACAUGUAUAUUGAUCUACUGUUCCGAGAUUCUGUACAUAUUAAAAAUAAAUUUGAACAUUUUCAUUGCAGAUCGGUGUUCUCUUCGUGAACCAGAAGUGGUAGAGAAACUUCAAUGGAAAAUUUUACAGUCAUUUAUCCACCUUGUUAAAAAGACACAUCCAAAUGAACAGUUGAGGUUUGCUCGUUGUAUGGACAAACUAACACAAUUGAGGGAACUUACAGAGGUUAACUACAAAACAAACAAAAACCUAGAGAACUUCCAAAAGUCUAUGAUUCAGAAUUAUCCAUUGUUGUAUGAAUGUGUUACAUUUGAGGGAUAACAGCUGACCGCACAAUACGAGGCAAGAAUUCUCGAUUUUAAAGUAUUGGUAGACAUUUGGAUUCAGAUAAAUGAUGAUAUUUCACGUUUUGAGAUGUCAGCUUUAGAUUCAGCUUUUAGUGCUUAAUAUUUUUAUUCUAAUUCAUCAAAACAUGUAUGUUCUUUAAGGAUUUUUUUUUGUUUACAGGUAGUGUUUCAUGAUAGCCUUUUCUGUUCCUAUCAUGAGAGAAUGUUCAUGGUCAAAUGAACCUAAACGUGUGAACGUCCUUAGGUCAUAGGGAAUACGUGUAAGCAAUGUCGAUUACAGUGCAAAAUACAGUACAACAGCUACAAAUUGUCAUCUAAAUAUCAGGAAAAAUAUAACAAAAUAAUAUUUUUGUUUGCUUUUAAACAAAUGGCCCAUAGGGUACAUAAUAUGAUAUAUUUCUUUAUAUAUAAGUGUAUCGAUUUGUUACGAGUGACUUAUUUCAAACUUUUUGUGGCACAUAAAGUUUAAAUCUAGAGACAAUUUUGAAUUUUUAAAAUAGAAAAUGUCUCUGUGACCUUCUUUAUCCCCAGAAAGCUGUAUAAAUACCAAUGGCAUUGAAACUGUAUAUAAUAUUCUCCAAAUAUAACAUUUGUAAACGAAUUUGAUCCCAGUUAAGAAGAAGAAUUUCAUAUGAAAAAGUUUUCCUUCAUUUUCACAGUCAUCGAUCUCACAAAAAAAAGAAGGGCAAUACAUAUAUACAAUUUUUUCAAUUUAGAUACGUUAAUAUAGUCUUAAGAUAGAAAUUGUAAUAUGGAGCGUGGUUCUAUUUUACAUAUACAUUUCUUCAGAAUUAUUGUACAAAGCCAAUAGUGUGUCUUAAAUGCGUGUUGGUUUGUUGUUGAUUUCUUUUUCAAAAUUGUAUGUUUCCAAAUGUAGUAUAAUUCAAUUUGUGUUUUUAUAGAACACAGAAUGUACACUGUUUUUGUUGUAUUUUGGAAACAAAAUUUGUUUUUAUAUUUUUGUGUUUUGUUUUUGUUAAUAAAAAUGACCAUUGUUGUUGUAUCGUUGUUUGUAAUUACUACUAUAAAGAAACAUAUGAAUGCAUAAAGAAUGAUAUUCCAGAAAAAUAAAGUACUUUUGUCGAUUAAAGGUUAAUAUUUGAUGGCUGUUGGUUCGUUUUGAAAGUCCAACAAAUAUAGAAACCCUAGUUCGUGCAUGUGAUAGAGUGGAAUGGAAAGUUUUCCCAUUUCCCCCACAAUCAGAGAUUAAUACAAUGACACAAGAAGAAAUAGAGUUUUCGCCCAUUAGACAUUGUAAUUGGUCGCUAUGAGUUUGAAUGAAAUAACUUGCUACAUGCUAUUAAUGUGAAAUUUUGGUAUGACUACUGAAAAGACUUUUCAUUUGACUAUAUUGUUCAAUAUAGGAACUGGCAUCACAUGUUGGAACUUUUGGUACAUCUUUUCCCCUCUGAUAUGCAUUGUUUAAAUAUGGUCAUAUAUGUUCAAAUUUCUUUGCGUUGUUCAAUUUUGCCAUUAUGAUACAACGUAACUGUGUAUUGUGUUGAAAUGCACUUUUUACACAGGGUUGCAUGUUACAGAGAGAUAGCAUAAUAAGUUUUAUCAUGUCUCCAGUUUGAUCAAUCUAGUUCUAUUGUUUUACAAGUGUUUCGUCAUUUUCGUCUUACAAAACCUUAACUUGACCUUAGUAUUGAUGUAUAUUCAUAAUACUUGGUAAUGAGCUUUAGUACCAUAAAACGAUGUUUACCGUUUCAUCAUAACCAGACUUUUGAUUUAAAGGUGAAAUAGUUCUCUUCAUGAGACAUUUUUAUGUCAGGGUUGUUACAAUUUCUCUUUUUUAACAUAAUCAUUUGGUAUUUUGUACAUCGAGAUCAUUUCGAGAGAAUAUGUCGAGUACCAUUGAAAACAAUAUAUGGCGUUAACCUAAUAUGCAAGGUACGGUAAAUGAAAGUUUCAUUCUACCCAAUCCACCAAAAAUUAAUACAUUGAUACAAGGAUAAAUAAUUUUUUCUCUAAAAAUAUGUUUAUUAAUCUCUAGUGAUUAGAAUAAUAGUAAACAAAACUUACUACAAGUCAUGAAUGGGAACUACUUGGAUAGACUGCUGACAAGUGUAUGCUUACUUUUGAUUUGACUAUUGGUUAUUAUAGGAUCUGGCAUCACGUGGUUUAAGCUCCAGUGCGUCCAUGUUAACAACGGUAUGGAAGAAUCACACAGGUUCUAGAACUUGGGACUUUUGUCGCUUCUUUUUCACUCUGUUUUGCAUUGUUUUAAUGUGGUCAUCAUACGAUCAGAUUCAUUUGCGUUGUCCAGAAUGAGAUUUGUCAUAAGUGAUGCGACAUGACUGUUUACUGUGUUGCAUUGCACUAUUUAAAAUUAUGGUUUGUUGUUAAAGAGAGAUACUUAUGUGUCCUAUUUGAUCAAGCUUGGCACAUUGUUUAAUAUGAAGUGUUUCUCAUCAGUGCCUUGUUAAAACAUCUUGACUUUGAUAUUUACUAAUUGUACUUAGUAUGAUGUUUUCAUACCGUAAGACGAUGUUUUGCGAUUUAUAUACGUUACAAGACCGUUGACUUAAUUUAUUCAAGGGUAAAUAAAUUCUUUUAAUUUGUUGUCCAGGUCGUUACAAUUCAUCUUUUUGCCAUAAUCAUUUGAUAUUUUGAAUGAUAUUUUUAACAUGAGAGGUCAUAUCGAGACAACAUGUCGAGUGCCAUUGAGGAGAAUAUUUUACCUUGAUCUUAAAUGCAUGGUAGGGUAAAUGAAAGUUUCAUUUUUUCCCGUAUAACAAACAAUUGGUACAAUUUGACAUGUGCUAUAGUAGUCUCAGCUAGGUACAAUGAUACAAGAAUAAGUACAUUUUCCCUCCGGCAAACCCGGUAAUCAAUCGCUAAGAGUUAAAAUUAAAAAGAACUUGCUACAGACCGUGCACUGACUACCGUGAAAUGCUUGAUAAGACUACUUACAAAUAAAUGGAGACUUUGUAUUUGAUCAAUACAGAAACUGACAAAGUUUCAUGUUACAGAGGGAUAACAUAAUUAUGUCAGUUCCAUUAUGUUUCCUGUUUGAUUAAGCUGGACAUAUUGUUUAAGCAGUAUAUCUUCUGGUUCGAUCUUCUCAUGAAACAUUGAAUUUUACAUAUUGAAAAAGAAACUAAAAAUAUUCUUAAUUGCUGCUUGCCCUACCUAUACAGCAAAUUUCUGCCUACUAAAAGUUUUAUAGAUUGUCCAGAUUAUACGGUGACACACAGUCUUUGUUUGCAAAUGUUAAUAUGAUGAUAAAAAAAGUCGGGAUAAACUAAUAAAAAAGACAGGAGCGAAUAGAGUGGAAAAGAAGAAGAAAAAAAGCAGGACAGAUCGAGAUACUAGCUUCAAAAAUUUUUCAUCACAGCCCUCGGUAAAAAUAAACAGUAGCUCCCUUAUUUUUCACUGAAUAGACGAUUUUCAGUGUCUAGUAUUUGAGACAAUAUAUAUCUGAAAAAGUUAUAAUAUACAAUUCCUUGAUAUCAGUAUGUUGAGAUUUAUUUAAUAUGAUGAUCAUUACUUAUAUUAAAUCAGAAAUGGUUAGUAUCCGUGGCGGAUCCAGCCAUUUUAAAAAGGGGGUUCCCAACCCAGGACAAAAAAGGGGGGUGUUCCAACCACAUGUUCCCAUUCAAAUGUAUUGAUCGUCCAAAAAAGGGGGGUUCCAACCCCCGGAACCCCCUCCCCUGGAUCCGCCACUGAGCAUAUAGUAGAUUACUGUGUGAUUCAGGUAAAAUUUUGCUAAAACAAAUAAUUGGCAUUUGAUAAACUAUUGAAGGAUUUACAACAAAACCACAACUGAAUAGUUUUUUUUAAGAUAUUCCUUAAUCCCAUUAGAAACUUUUUAAAAUGAUUCACUUUGGUAAUAGGAAAGAACUAGAAUAUUUUGUACCAUUCUUAAAAUACCAUUGUUAACGUCGGCACGUUUAACAGUUGUUUGAAUUACAGACAACAGUUCCUGGAUCCUAAAUGUGUGUUCUUCGAUUUGUGAUACUUAAUGAUACCGGUUCUAAAGACAUUUUUCUUUGUUUUUUCUAUUGCCAAUAAUUAGACAUUUUCAGAUAUUGUUUCAUUUAUAUUUCAGUCUUCGUUAUUCUUUAUUCACCAUUUUUAUAUUAUUUGGUUCUAAAAUAACACAUGAUAGUUAAAAUUGAGAAGACAUUGAGAUGUUUACUAUUUUUAUUGAAUAUCCCGCCACAAUCACUUUUCAUUUGUUCGCCGAAACCUCGUUGUGGUUAGCUUCGCGGAAGAAACUCGCCCAAAUUCAAAAAGAGGCUAAAAAUUAAAUUUGCGGGCAGGUUAUCGUACUCAAUGUUAGUCAACAAAAGAAGAAGCCUGUUGUUACAUUUGAACUAGUUGUCACUUAAACAUUUUUCUACAAGAAGUUUCAGGUAAAGCAUUGUAAUCGAUUUUUGUCAUGAUUUUCCAACAAAUAUUCUUCAUUUUGCCAAAAUCGCGAUGAAAUAUUUGCCGGUUAAUUUACCCGGCCAAAUUGAGACCGCCAUCUUGAAAAUUUUGUUUACGAACAUGGAAAAAUUCACGAUAACACGGCUAUUUAGCUUGAAUCAACAUACUUAAUUAUGAAGAAGUCAAACAGAGUCAUAUAGUUAUAUGAAAGAACUAUUAAAAUUAUAAAUGCGAGUGUAAAUUAAAUUGCUUCAAUGUAUUGCCAUUGUUGGCGGCAUGUACGCGAAGAUCUGGGUCACCAAGUGCUUAUAAUAAAGAUACAACUACAUUUUGUUUAUGACUUGUAUCUGAUGCGUGUUUUUCAUAAAAAAAGUGAAAUUACAUGUCUCGCAGAUUUUUUUUAUUAUGAUGCAUAUUUAAUUUCUGAUUUCUGGUUAAAACAUUACAAGUUGGAUAUUAAAGGGGGAACGUUGUUGGCGGUACAAAACGGCAAACUACUUCUCGAAAUAUCAAUGUUAUAUGAUCAUGUCAGAUAUUUAUUAAUGAAUUUCUGAUCAUUAAUAAGAGCCUUAUUUGAAAAUAAAUAAAAAUCUUGUGUAGAAUUAACAUUAAAGAGUUGUUUUUAUUUAUUUUUUAUUUCGAAAUUUGCAUUGCAAACAUGCAUUUAUAGUUAACAUUUCAACUAUGAAUUGCUCCAGUUGCCCAGUUGUGCAAUAAAACAUUUCUAGUUGCACUGGAACACAUAUUGUGACCAUACUUUCAGAUGCAAAAAUGUGACAACUUUAAUCUAUAUUUAAUUACAUUUGCAUAAUAUAUGUAAUUGAACAGAUGUGUACAACAUGAGGACUUGAUAAUUAAAAUACAGUGGUUUAAUUUGUGUGUAGCAUUUAUGUACAGGUCUUCAAUGUAAAGUGAUUUGAUUCCCUCUUUGAAAAAAAUUUGCAAAAAUAAAUCUCAAUCUAUGGGUCACACAAUGAGACUGUCUGAUAUAAAAUUUCAAAAGGACUCCUAAUAAUUGGAUGAAUUAAGCUAGAAACAACCGGAUGGCAGUGAUUUUCCUAGUAUUUAGGGGAAGGGCCUAUGCAAUUGGGAAUAAAAGUUCCUGAAAUGUUAUUUAUUUAGGGAAAAUAUAUUAUAGUUCAUUUAUACCGAUGGCUCACAGCUCCAGUCGUGUGGAACAUGGAAGUGGGGUUUGUAAGUGAAAAUUUGGAAAAAUUAGGUGCAAAAUUCUGCAUUCUGAGAAAGAAUAACAUGAAUAAGUUAUAAUUGCAUAAAUUGUGAACAAAAUUCAAGAGUUUUGUUAACAAAAUACCACAUUAGGAGACCAACAAAAUCUUGUAUACAAUUGGGAUUUUAGAGCUGAAAAUUGGGAAAAAAAGAGCAUAUUUCUCUUUGGGACAGGGGCUCAUAUUUGGACCCAAAUAUGAGGGUUGAUCACUGAGAUGAUCUCCAUGUAUAAGUACAUUAAGUCAGGUAGCUGUAGGUAUUUUAAGGAAGGGGCAUUAAGUGUUGGCCUUGCCUGUCCUGUCCUUCUGUACAUCCCCUAAAUUAUUGUUUUUGUUCUGAGAUUAGUGUGCCUUGACCAAAUGUUAUAAAACUUGUACACUAUGCUUAUAUUAAGCGAAAAACACGAUCAAGUUUUAAAUUUUUUGGGUCACUAUGUCUAUUCAUGAGAUAUGCCCUAUAGUGCCAAAUAAAAAUAUAUAUGUGGUUCCAGUUACCUGACCGACCCUAGUUUAAACCCCUCGACCCUAGAUUUUUUGUCGAGCCUGCAACUUUCUUUGAGAAAGCUCGACAUAGGGAUAGUGAUCCGGCGGCGGCGGUGUUAGCUCACUUCUUAAAAGCUUUAUAUUUUAGAAGGUGGAAGACCUGGAUGCUUCAUACUUUGUAUAUAGAUGCCUCAUGUUACGAAGUUUCCGUCAGUCACAUGUCCAAUGUCCUUGACCUCAUUUUCAUGGUUCAGUGACCACUUGAAAAAAAGUUCAGAUUUUUUGUAAUGUUGAAUUCUCUCUUAUUAUAAGUAAUAGGAUAACUAUAUUUGGUAUGUGCGUACCUUGCAAGGUCCUCAUGCCCGUCAGACAGUUUUCACUUGACCUCGACCUCAUUUCAUGGAUCAGUGAACAAGGUUAAGUUUUGGUGGUCAAGUCCAUAUCUCAGAUACUAUAAGCAAUAGGGCUAGUAUAUUCGGUGUAUGGAAGGACUGUAAGGUGUACAUGUCCAACUGGCAGGUGUCAUCUGACCUUGACCUCAUUUUCAUGGUUCAGUGGUUAUAGUUAAGUUUUUUGUGUUUUGGUCUGUUUUUCUCAUACUUUAUGCAAUAGGUCUACUAUAUUUGUUGUAUGGAAUGAUUGUAAGGUGAACAUGUCUAGCGGACAGAUGUCAUCUGACCUUGACCUCAUUUUAUGGUUCAGUGGUCAAAGUUAAGUUUUUCAGUUUUGGUCUUUUUAUCUGAUACUAUAUAUAUAUGCCAUAGGUCAACUAUAUUUAGUGUAUGGAAAUAUUUUACGAUUUAUAUAUUAGUCGCGCAGGUUUUAUUUGACCUUGACCUCAUUUUCACGGUUCAUUGCUCAGUGUUAAGUUUUUGUGUUUUGGUCUAUUUUUCUUAAACUAUAAGUAUUAGGUCAACUAUAUUUGUUUAUGGAAGCAUUGUUAGCUGUACAUGUCAGCCUGGCAUGGUUCAUCUGACCUUGACCUCAUUUUCAUGGUUCAUUGGUCUUUGUUUAGUUAUCUUGGUUAAUGUAACGUUUAUGUGACAGUUGUAAUAAAGCUUUAUACUUAGGACUAUCAACAUAAUAUCAAUGAUUAGUAAAGAAGGCGAGACAUUUCAGUGUGUGCACUCUUGUUUUUUCAUUUCUGAAAAAUAAAUUUUCAAAUGAUCAAGUUUUGAGGAUUGUUUAUUAGAAUAAUUAAAUUCAUAGAUUUCUGUCAUCAGAAUUUCCAUCAGAAGUAUCUGUUAUUACUAAAGUGCCAGAAUUCAUAACAGAAUGGAACAAAAUUAACUAAAAACGUAACAUGUCUGUUUAUUUUACAACCAAACACACAUAAAAUGUCAAAUGGCAAACUUCUUGUUGGGGCGUGUAUACCGAAAACAAUUUUGGCAUACACACCAUUUUUUUUUCAGAUUUUGACAAUCCAAAAUGAAAAUUUAUAUAAGAAAUAAAAAAAUUUACUAACCUACCAAACCUAUAGUAUUUUUAUGCCUCGCCUACAAUAGUAGAGGGACAUUAUGUUCUCUGGUUGUGCGUCUGUUCAUUCGUUCAUCAUUUGUCCCUCUUCAGGUUAAAGUUUUUGGAAAGAUUAGAACUUGUUCUAAAUCUUAACUAAGACACUGGCCUCCCCUAACAACACCACAGGUUAGCUACUGUUACUAAAUGUAUUCACACUGAAAUAUAGUUCCCCAUAGUUCUCAUGUAUGUGCACAUAAUACACAUAUUUUUGGAGGAGUCGAUCGAAAAAUGUAUGUAACUGAGGUGUGAUGAUGUGCAGGCUUUUUUUAUGCCCCACCUACGAUAGUAGAGGGGCAUUAUGUUUUCUGGUCUGUGCCUCCGUUCGUCCGUUCGUUCGUCCCGUUCGUCCGUUCGUUCGUCCCGCUUCAGGUUUAAAGUUUUUGGUCGAGGUAGUUUUUGAUGAAGUUGAAGUCCAAUCAAUUUGAAACUUAGUACACAUGUUCCCUAUCAUAUGAUCUUUCUAAUUUUAAUGUCAAAUUAAAGUAUUGACCCCAAUUUCAUGGUCCACUGAACAAAGAAGAAGAUAGUGUGAAGCUCAGGUUAAAGUUUUUGGUCAAGGUAGUUUUUGAUGAAGUUGGAAGUCCAAUCAACUUGAAACUUAGUACACAUGUUAACUAUGAUAUGAUCUGUCCAAUUUUAAUGCCAAAUUAAAGUAUUGACCCCAAUUUCACGGUCCAGUGAACAUGUAAAAUAAUAGUGCGAGUGGGGCAUCCGUGUACUAUGGACACAUUCUUGUUUUAUAACAUUUUGAUAGGUAAUUGGGUAUUGAUACAAUACUAUAAUGAUUGAUAACUGUCAUUAUCACCAAACAAUAAGAGACAAGGUGGACCUUUAAUUGAAAUGCCCAACCUCCUAAACUGUCAAUCAAAUUGACCACAUUACUUAUCAAUCUCAGUCUUACAUAAUUAGAACCUUCAAUAUACAACUUCAAUAUACAAAUAUUUGACCUCAUAAUUGAAUACACAAAUGUAUAUAUUAGAUGUUUGAUAUAUAUAAGGAUGAUAGAUUUAUUUAUUGCCUAUUACUUUUGAUCUACAAUACAUAGUGAUACUGAAAAUUCUGUCUGAAAGAUAAAUUAUCAAUGGAUUAACAAGACCUUUUUAAAAAAAUGAAAUAUGAAUAUAAAUAAGAAUAUAUAAAAGCUAUUCAAGGCCUAUAAUUUACUUGAUAAAUUUCCAAUAAUCAUCUCAUGAUCUGUAAUUAAUGAACAAUUUAGAUUAGUUCACUUAUAAGCUCACCUGGCCCCAAGGGCAAAGUGAGCUAUUCUCAUCACUUUGCGUCCGGCGUCGUCUGUUAACUCUUACAAAAAUCUUCUCCUCUGAAACUACUAGGCCAAAUUUUACCAAACUUAACCACAAUCAUCAUUGGAGUAUCUAGUUUAAAAAAUGUGUUCGAUGACAAGGCCAACCAACCAAGAUGGACGCCAUGGCUAAAAAUAGAACAUAGGGGUAAAAUGUAGAUUUUGGCUUAUAACUCUGAAACCAAAGCAUUUAGAGCAAAUCUGACAUGGGGGUAAAAUUGUACAUCAGGUCAAGAUCUAUCUGCCCAGAAAUUUUCAGAUGAAUCGGACAACCCAUUGUUGGGUUGCUGCCCAUGAAUUGGUAAUUUUAAGGAAAUUUUGCCAUUUUUGGUUAUUAUCUUGAAUACAUGUACUAUUAUAGAUAGAGAUAAACUGUAAACAGCAAUAAUGUUGGGCAAAAUAAGAUCUACAAACAAGUCAAAUAUUAAGAGAGGAAAUGGAUGCAUGUUUUGGCCUUAAUAUUUCAGAUUUAUUUUCAAAGUGGGUUUUUAUCAUGAUGAAUGUAGUAAAUAAAUUAUCAUUUUUUUUUUUCAGAAAAAAAAUCAAAAUGAAUUACCAGAAGGUAUAUAUGAAUCACAUACAUUCAAGCUCUCUACUAUGCCAGUUAGCACAGAUGUGGAGAAGUCAGUUACUGUGUGAUGCAUUGAUUUGCACAGGAAAUGUAGUUACAAAGGUAAGACAUGCAGUAAAAACGUGAACAUUACCUUGAGUAAAAAGGAAUUUUUGUUCCUUUUGUUUAUUAAUUUUUAUCUCCUGUAUAAACAUAUAAAUGGCCAUCAUGAUCUGCAAUUUUGUCACAAUUUAAUUAAUUAACUACAUGACAUGUACCAACACUUUAGGGUAGCAAUUUUGAGGCAUUAAAAGUAGCAAGGAGGUAAAGUAGCCUUCACACAAUUUUUUUGCCCUUUGACAAGUUGAGCAUAUUAGUGAUACACAAUACUAAAAAAGUACAACACUGAACCAGUUCACGUUGAACCUAAAUCUACAGGCCCGCAGCUCAAUUUUUAAAUUUUUAGUUAGAUUCUGUUGGCCAGUGUAGCCUUCACACAAUAUUUUUGUUUGUCAAGUUGAGCAUAUUAGUGAUACACAAUACUAAAAAAGUACAACACUGAGAGCAAUUUUACCAGCCUAGGCUGCCUGGGCUGCCACUCGUCGUGAAGGCUGCUGAACUACCAGGAAAAUUUAGAAGAGAAAAUCAAUGUACAUGUACUACCAUAGUGAACAACUAACUCGAAUGAAAUCUGAAAAAGGUUCAAAAGGAUGACUUAUUGAUUUUCUUUUUUACUUUAAAACAUCUGUCAUCUUUAUUUAUUAUUAGAUAAAUAUUAAACUAUAGUUAAUUUCUUUAUAAAUGUCACAUGUUAUUUUGCAUUGUUAGCAAUAUGUUGUCCACAGAUGUCUGUUUCCUGCAUCCAAUCAUUUUACGUUUUAAAUGGGUUCUGUAUGCAUGGUAUGUGGAGAAUUAUUUUUAAAUUUUUGCUUUUUAACAAAAUACAGAAAAUUACAUCAUGUACAUGUUUUUCUCCAAAUUUGAUCCUGUAAUACACUUAUGCGGGUAAAUUGCACAUUCCUGUUGAUAAUUAUAGAAUUUUUCAAUGGUUUCAUAAGUUUUACACAAGUACAUUUAUGCAUCAAUUAGAAUCUUGUUACAAAUUUAAAGUUAAUCAGAGAUCAAAUUGAGGGUUGGUUGGGAUGCAGGCAACAAGCAAAUGUUUACUGUUAGGGGCCUUAGUUCAACCUGCUGUAAUUUGAUCAAUUAAUGUCAAUCUUUUAUAUCUUUAGUAUUCUAAAUUAUAUUUUCUUUCUCUUUAUGUACACAGGCACACCGAGUUGUGCUUUUGGCAGCUUGUCCCAUGUUGCAGUCGAUGGAAAAUGCAUCAAUUGGAACCGAGUUGGAGGUUCGUCUAGCUGCUGAUAUUAAACAGGAAGCUGUAACCACAUUCUUACAAUAUUUGUAUGAGGGAUUUAUGUUACUUACUGAAGAAAAUGUGAAACAUGUAGAAAAAGUAGCAAGAUUGCUUCAAGUAGACAGUGUGAUCAAAUGUUGCUCAGACUUCUUCAAGUGUCUCGAAAAAUCCACAGGAAAACAACACAAUGCUAAUUACAAAUUUGACAAAUAUGACUUACUUGAAUUCCGUCAUGUGCGAGCCACUGGAUUACAAAAAACUUAUCAUGAUAGACUAAUGAAAAGGAUGUCCGAAGCUCCCCGCCCAUCUAGUCCCACAGGAGGGAAACGUCAAAGAUUACAUCCUCGUCCUUCCUCCCCACCAACUGACUUCAUGUCUCAAAGAGCAGAUGAUGCUGCAUCAAUGACACAAAGUUAUAUGACAGGAAAUCCUACUGGAACAGGAAGUGCCCGAUCAGGUGCUUCAAGUCAGUCAAGUAGAUCAGGGUCACCGUCAGUUGUAGAAAUAAUAGAGGACAGUUUGGAAUUAAUUCAAAGAGAAAAAUCUGUCCCUGGGCAACCUGAACCAUCAAGGUUAUCCCAGCAAAAGACAUCAAUUUCUGUGGCAUCACAUGUUUCAAAUUCUAAAGACACUCGUGUGAUUAAUAUCGCGGAUGACAGCGGUGGGGGAAGGACCCGCGUAACAGACUCAUUUAGUGAUCGUGUUCAAAAUAUUCCAAGUUCACCACAGCAGUCAUCACAACCUCAAAUGCCAGUCUCGCCAAAGAUAUCAUUCCGAGAUACUCAUCCUCCUCAGAACAUUCAACAUCCGUCACCUACAUCAUUCAUCCAACGUACACCAAAUCAAAUGAGCUUUACCUCGCAACCACCGCCUCCUCCAUUACAGCAAGCUGGAACAUUAAACAUUGCUCCAUUAUCACAAUCAUUCUCACAGGAUCGUUUCCAGCAACGUCAACAGGAACAACAAUCUAGUCAGUCUCGUCCACCACCAAUGUCCACUGACAUGUUUAUGGAAAGUGUUAAAACGUCACAAAGUUUCAUUACAAGUACUCCUCAACAACGAACCCAUCCAUCAUAUCCUCCCAUAUCUGGUGCUACUAAACCGUCAUUUGCUAUUGGAAGUGCUUCACAAGGUGGUGCACCGCCGCAAAGUCCAUCAUUCCAAAGUCAAUCAUCUAGUCAGCAACAAGAAUCCACUGGAAUGGCGGACAAGGGUGAAAAACGGGAGGCAGAAAGGUUAGUUUUCUUCAACAAAAUUGUCAUUCAAAAGUGAAACUGUUUAAUUAGACAAGAACACAAAAUUGUCAUUCAAUGAGAGUUGUUAAAUACAAAAUGUACUUGAUCACAAAAAAGAAAGUUUAUAAUGCUUAAAAAACAUUGUUAAAUACUCAGUUUUUGAAAAUCACAACUUUUUUCACUGAAAUUCAAUUUUGUUUAUAAAAUAUAGAUUUCUGUAAAAACUAGAAUUACACUUUCCUUUAUUUUUUGAAAAAUAAUAUUAUGUUGAAAGCAUUAAAGAACAGAUGAGUUUGGAAGUAUUAAAAUGAAAAUUGUUAAAGCAUUGUCUUAUGAAUUUACAGUUCCAUCUUUUGUAAAGUGUGGUUAUAUCUUUUUCAGUUCAAGGCCACAAGAAGGUCAUGAUCCAGGUCCAGAAGGAAAUGAUGAUAUCCCUGACUUGGCAAUAGUGAAAAUAGAAAAAGUGGGCGAGGACGAAACAGGUGGACUUUUGUUACAAGUAGAUAGUGGGCAAGGUGACGCUGCUCAUCGGCACGGACAAUUAAGCAUGGAGGAGGAGCAGGAGUAUGAUGAAAGUGACCUAACAGGCGAUUGGUCACAGGAAGAUAUAUCAAACGAAGGCAGCUUUCAAUCAUCGCAUAUGGACGAUCCGACCGGAGCUAUGUACAUGGGGCCAACAUCAGGUAGGUUUCUUUACUAUUUCCUUAUCAUUUAUUAGUUGCAGUUAAAAUACUCAGUUAUCACAGUUCAACAUAGCAACCUUGAUGAAAAGUGGAUAGAAAAAAUUGACUUAAAAAUUUGAUGUCAAAUAUUUGAGAUUUCAGUCUCCUUUGAAUACUAGACUGAUGCUGGUCUAGAAGUUUUACUGUAAAAUAUUGACUGGUUUUGAAUUAUUCCCCCAAAAAAGAUUGAAACUGAAAUUUUUGCUUUGAGAUGGGAAAUUAGGGAUAUAGAACAAAUCAAGGUUGAUAUGAAGAAGUACAAGCUCAUCAUUAUCAUUAUUUGCUGUUUUAUUACAUGUUUUUCCAAGUCAAAUUUGAGAUAGAAUUAUGAUAUAUAUAUAUACAUUUUGUAUACAUGUACAGAAAAAAAAACAAGUCUUUGCUUUUGAGAUGUCAUUGUUACAUUUAUCGGAAUUUUAAAAUAUUUUUUUUUUUAGAUCUUUUUAAAGAAGAAAUUCAACUUUAAUGAAAAACUAUAAGCUUUUAAUAUUCUUUUAAUGAUAAAUGUCACGAGAAAGCCAUUUAAAAAAAAAAAUAGUCAAGAUUUGAUUAGUUUAUGAAAUUAAGUUCUUUCGAAAUUUUUGAAGAAUUUUAUUGAUUUGGCUUGUAAAAUCAAAUUGGAAAUGUAAAUUGUAGCUAUACAGAAAAGGUAGGUGGCCUUGGCCCUGUUGUACUUUUUGACAUCAAUGAUAAAUGAGGGAGGGAAAGAUCGUUUUAGAAUAAGUCAAUAAACAGUUUAAUUUGUGUGGUUUUGAAUUAAAUAGAGUUUUAUGAUUAAUUGCAAUUGGAUGAGGUUUAUAAAUUUAAAAAAAUGUUAUUGUUUAAAAGACCAUAUCAAAUUUUAUUAAUAACAAGAAUGAUAAAAAGAUAUUAUUCUGAUAUUGAUAAUGUUGAUGUCAGGAAUACAUAAUUUUUCACUCCAAUAUGAAUUGCAGGAAAGAUAAAUAUACAUUGUAGGGUGCUAACUUUUGGUACAACUUGAUAAAAUGAGACUUUGACAGAAAUAUAUUCAAACCAUACAAGCAGCAGUCAUAUGAAAUCAGUUUUCUCAAUAAAGAAGAUCUAAAGAAGACACUCAAUGUUAAGAAAAACUUAUAUGAUACAUUUUACUAAAAUACUUGACAUCUUUCAUCAGGAAUAAGUAGGCAGGCAUAUCAGCAGUCGUUGUCUGGAUUUUAGAACUUUGAGUACUAAAUUUAUCUUUCCUGGCCAUGGUAUAUUUGACUGUAUGCCAAUAUAACUAUGCUUCCAGUUGCCAAGUAUAAUACCAACUGCCAGAAAAGUAAUCAAUCCCAAUUUUAUGUGUGGUCUUCAAAUUUUCCUCAUUGUUAUCCACCAGACCAGAAAAUUAAUCUUAUGCAAGAAAUUUGUUAGUAUGAAAUUUAAGGCUCCAGACAAGAACAGAUACCUUAUAAGUACUGGCAACUGGAAACAUGGUCACAUGUUUAUAUAUUAUCAUUAUUUCAGGCUUUUAAUUUUCAUGUAAAUCUUAUGUCAGUGUCAUUUCAGCUACUUGUUAAUAUAUUUGCAUGGUCUUAUGAAUAAAUAAAAUUUUGAAAUUUGCUAAUUAAUCAUAGUGCAUUUUUGGCAAGCUUUGUAUUACUUUAUAUAAUAACCAUGCAGACAUUUUGACAAGUAGUUAUUAGAAAAAUCAUUUACAUAGUAACAAAGAACAGUUAUCAAUGAAAAUUACUGUACCUGACUUGAGUACAGAUGAUAGGUGAUUGAGGGCAUAAUUAAAAUGGGCUCAUGGAAACAUUUACUAACCUGACUUGAGUCCACAAGAUGGAAGAUCUACAUGUAGCUACAUGUAUAUAGGCACUAUUAAAUAUGAACAAGACCUUCGAAUGGGUUCUUAUAAUACCAUUGAUUAACCUGACUUGAGUACACAAGAUAGAGGAUCAAAAAGGCAUAACAAUGAAAAAUGUAAAGAGGAACUUAAGUUUAUGAGACUAAAGAGGCAGACAAAUUGAGUGACUCCGAUCAGGUGUAACAAAGGAACAUCUGGGAACAUCUGCAGGUUUGGUUAGGUUGUAAAUGACACUGACAAAUCUAUUUCUAUCAUAUAUUGUAAGGUUACUUGAUUCAGAAUCUGAUUCCUUGUGUUCAUUAGUAAUACUUUUUUUGAUUUAAAAAAAAAAGGAGGAAAAAAGAAAAUUAGUAAAAUAGAUGGAGAAAAAAUACAAAUAUCAUGAAAUGUUUCAAUUAAACUAGUUUAGGCAUACAAAGUGCAUGAUAAUUGUAUUCAGAAAACACAAGAAUUCAGAUUGACAAGUAGCCUGGUUAAAUUGCUGAAUAAAUGUUUCAUUACGUAUUAAGAUCUGGAGAUUUUAAUGUACCAAAAUUUAUUCCUUUUGUCUAAAACAUAAUAAUCAAAAUUAUGAUGGUAUCAGUACCUUUAGAAAUGUACCUGGCAAAUAUUAUUCCUUUUGUCUAAAACAAAAUUAUAAAAAUUAUAAUGGUACCUAUAGAAAUAAGUCGGAUGGACUAAAGGUACAUUGUACCAAAAUUUUUGUGAAAUGAUUCAAUAUGUUUAAUCAUAUAUCAUGUUUAUAUAUUCAUUAAUUACAAAAAAUGUAUAAAGCACAUGUUGUGAUGAAACAUUUACAGUAAUAUGGGAAUUGACAAACAUGCAGUUAUUUUGAAAUUUAAAACUUUAAAAGAAACGUGAACUUUUAUAGAAUUUAGGGGGGGGGAAAACAAAAUUACCUUGAUUGUGUUACUUUUUGCUGUUGGAGAACUUUUGUAGUGAAAAAAGUAACUGCAUGCAUACAUAGGCUGUAUUACAGCUACAAUGUGAUAUGAGACUUGCAUACAUGUACUAGGAAAUAGAUAUUUAUAUAAGAGUGUAUCCCAAACUAUGUCUGAAUGAAAAAAUAUCAGACAAAGUCAUUCGGUCAGACAGAAAUUUUUAGAUCAUUUAGUUGAAUUCUAGUAAAAAAAUGUUUAAUCUCUUUCAGUUAGACAAACCCUAACACAGUUUGUCACAUUUUGAAAUAUGGGCGUUGGUUUUCGAAAUAAAAAAAAUCUAGUUUGUUUUCUCUGAUUCAGUAUCUGUUACAUGUACAUGUAUGCAUUAUUAAAGAAUUUUAAAAUAGCAGGUCAAGAAUAUGUGUUAGAAGUUUAUCAUUUCACUGUCAAAUUAAUGUAUAGAUAUUAGAUAUGAUUGAAUCACAUUUAGAUAAAAAAUGAAAAUUUGAUAAAAGCAUUCUUAUGAAGAUAUAUUUUGAAACACAAAUUCUUGACUUGUUAUAAUGCCCUCCCCAAAUUAUUCCCAAGAAGACAGAAGAACAGCAAAGGAUCCAGAUAACAGAUUAAGAACUUUUUCAUUAUACAUUCCAGCUAUUACUUUCUUUAAAAUGUAUAAAAAAAUUGUUUUGUUUUAUUUCAUCACAACUUGUAAUUGUCUACUUUUGUUAAACAAAAAAGUUAUUUUUUGUAAAAUUGAAUGUAAAAAAAUUGUAGUUGAUUGGUUAUUUAGUGUUAUAACUGAAAAAGAUUUUUUCUUUCCUAGUAAAUAAUCACUUGUUAAUGUUAAUUUUGAUAAAAAUGAUACAUGUAUUAUUUAGAUGUUCUCUUAAUAUCUUUCUGACUUUGUCUGGUUGGGUUACUGUCUCAUUGACAAAUGCCCCAAGUUGUCUUUUAUUCAUAAUUCAAUGUAAGAAAAGUGAGUGCAAUUUUAAAGCAUUUUAAGUAUAAUGAAAUAGUUCUACAGGUUUGUAUUUUUGUUUUAUUUGCAUCCUUCAUUUUAUCAUUGAGCUUGUAAAUGUGAUAACUGGGUAUUUUGAUCAGUUCAUUUCAACAAGAUGUUUCCAUUCUUCAAAUCCUUGAAUGAAAAUCGCAAGUUGCUAAGAGAACCUUUUUCUUUAACCGAGAAUUAUUUUAAAAUGCAAAUAGUCAUUUGGCUUUUAUUUGAGACCAGAAGUAACUUGAGAAAAAUUUCUGGCUCUUACAUUGCAAAUCCUGCUUACAACAAGAUAUUCAUUUAUAUUUGUGUAGAUGGUAAAUCUAUCUUUAUUGAAAUGAACAAUAAUGCUUUAACAACUGGUGAAGAACAUUUCAUAUUUAUGGUCCUUAAAGAUUGGUGUCUGUCAUUGCAAUUUUCGUAAUCCAUCACACUAGCUCUCAUUGCUGUUGCUUCAUGACACAUGGAAAAAUGUAUUCAGAAAUAAAAAUAGAAAUGUCCAUAGCAUUUUCAACUAAAGAUGACCCUUUUUAAAGGUUUCAUAUAUGCAGUCAAGGAAGGAAAUGUGCAAUACAUUUGUGAUCAUACCUGUGAUGCCAUACACUUUAAAACACAAUAUUUCAGUUUCUAGUUGUUGAGCUUGAGAGCAUAAGCAUGCUUACACAGAAGGAAAGAUAAUGAGACAAUAAAAAUCAAAAUGUACCCAAAAAAAAAAGACACACAUUUGAAAAAUUGCUUCAUUUUUUAAGCAAGACUUAUAUGGCACAUGCGUUUCAAGUCAAUGAGCUAAAGAUUGAGUGAGCAGAUUAUCAGAAUCGUUAACUUACUUAUAGGCCCUACCCACUUUUCUGCAUUCCAUAACCAGACACCUUGCCAACAGCAAUUGACAGAUCCCAAUUCAACAAGAAAUUCAUGAAACCUUUAUUCAAGUAGUUGACAAAAACAUUUUGGUAGUUGUAUGGUCCUAUGGAUACUGGUGUUGGUGUCUUGUUUAUGAAUUUACUAAACAUUAGUUACAUAUGAUUAUGUUGGGUAUAAACGUUAAUGAGACAGAUGUUAUCAAUGGACAGCUGGAUAAGCACGGAGCAAGCGAGACCAAGGAAACAAAAAAAAAAAUGCAUUACACGCUUCAAACAGCAAGAAGACAUGAAAAGUAUGUUUCUCAGUUUGGCCUUUCUUGGAAAAGAUUUGCAAUUAAUGUGCAAGGUGCCAGUGAUCUUUAAAAAUAAUGUCAACAAAGAUUUUUUCAUGUCUUCUUUCUAACCUAAAAAUACAGUGCAUGAAAAGUUUUCCGAUUUUCUUUGUAAGACAAUUUUUUUAAAGAAUUGAAAUUAUUAUAUUUAAAAAAAAAGAAAAGAAAAAAGUGCAUACUCGCCAUGAUGUAUUUUGGAUUAUUUUCACUUGCUGCUUAGAAACCCAUUAUUAAAGUGAUACAUGAAAGUUGUUUUGACUAGGAUGAUAGUUUAGUUACUUAAGGUCUUAGUUGUAGAAGUGUAUUACAAUAUCUCAGAAAACUUGACAUGCACACAACGCAACAUAAAAAUACAAAAUAUACCAAUUAAACAAUUGAACUAACUGUGAACUCAGGUGCUAGAGACAAGUCCGACAAGACUAUCAACACAAAUUGAAAAAUAAAGUACUCGCACACAAACAAUCAAAAUAUAUGUACAUAAAUUAUGCAGUUAGUUACUCGAUAGUAUAAAAUUUAAUUAAUGGGUAAAUUUAAGUUGACUGUGUUUUAAAAUAGUAUUGAUUAUUAUUAUGUAUUAAAUAUUUGUUUCACCAACACCAGUAGCCCCAGAGUUAUAUGUUAUGUAAAAAUAUGAACAGUUCUUCACCAUGUUGUUGUCAUAUGAUUAAUAUAUAUUAAAGGGAGAUAAUUUAAGAAAUAAUAGAGACACAUGAAUUGGUAUGAGCAGCAAAUGAAAAUAGAAUAAAGCAUCCUGCUAGAUAUCAAAAUGUUAAUGUUAAAAGGCAUAGGAAACGAAUAAGCUGUGUGAGCGAUAUAUUUAUAUUGAAUAUGUGCCUAUAGCUUUGCUUGUAAAAAUUGAAAAUUCUUAAGUUUGAAAAUCAAUUGAAGAGAAAAGGGGGGUGGAUUGACUUUGAUACCUAACACAACACUUUGAAAACUGAAGAUUUAAAAAUGACUGGAGUUGUCAUUGAGACCGGUUCCUGAUCAGAGGAAGGUGAUGAUGAAAGACAUAAUUUUUUUUCCAUAUUUUUACCAUUCAUUUAGAAGAUUUAUGUAUUGUGCAUUUAAGCUUAUUCUGUAUCAAUAAAUAAUGUAUAUUGCUUAAUUGUUUAAGAUUUAUUUGUAUUUAAGUGCAGGCACAUUAUUUGCUAUUUGGCUCAGGAGUUAUUUUCUUUUAAAAAGCAUUAAUUAAAUGAAACUCGAAAAGUAAAAAAAAACCCAACCUUUUCACAAGAUAAAUUGCUCAAUGUCCAGUGACAAAUAUAUAUCUGGUAUGAUUCAGAUUAUAAAUUAUUAUUUGGUAUAGUUUAAUGGUUGCUCUUUAAAAAUAAAAUAACUGCUGAGCUAGAUUUAUUCCCUGAAUUUUUUUUUUAUCCAUUUACAUACCCUUGAGAAAAAUUAAGUAUAUUUUUUCAAGCGUCCAUUUCAUGAGAAAAAUAAAUAAAAUAUAUAUAUAGAAUAGACUGCCCAACAGCAUCUUAAAGGAAAACAAGUUUAAAGCUUGUAAUCUUAAUUUUUCAAUUUACAGAGUAAUACUCUGGUUCAUUGAUUAUUGAUUGCUCAACACCAAAGUUUAAUAAAACAGCUUAUUUAGGAUUUACUUGACUCAACCAUUCCCUAUCAUUAAACUUUAAAAGAUUCAAUUGCGAGAUGUAUGAAGACGUAUACGAAGGCACAGACAGUGCAUUAUUUGUUGUUAGACAGUUUAUACAAGUUCAAAGCGGAUAUUUUGAUAAAAAGAGAAGAUCGAAAGAAAAUAGUGGUGCUGGUGAUUGAAGAGUUUGACGAUGCUGGUUAUAUGCUGUGAUCCUUUAAAGUAGCAUUUAGACCGGAACAAUUAUUUGGACCAUUCAGAGGUCCUUUCAAAGUUAAAAUUGGUAUGGUAAUAAGUAUCAUUUUUGGACACAUUUGAAUGAGCUCAGAGCUUGGAAAUUCAAUAGCCAGUGUCUCAAAUUAACUGAUUUGGUCUGAUAGAUAAAAGAUUGGAGAUUUAUAAUAAUUCAAAAUAAUAGCUCAGAUUGACAAGUGAACAAUAACGAAGAGUGAGAAAUAAUUAUGGAGUUGAUGUUUUGCAGCCUUGAUAUAAAAAUCUGGUCAAUUGUAGGACCCAAAAAGUGGUCAUUGUAAAAUUUCAAGUUAGAAUGCAAUCAGUUAGGUUGAAGAUGUAUAUUACUAUUACUUUAAAAGAUACAUUAGAUAAUUAAAAAUUCAUAUAUGGCAAUAUUCAUAUCAUUGAUAUGGAAACACCAGCAUGUUGUUAUUGAAUUUCUAUAAUACUGAAAUUUACUUGACCUGCCAGUAUUUGGGUUUAAAAAGUUUUUUUUGGAGCCUAUGAUAACAGACUAAUUUGAAAAUAGCAAAUAAGAUAGUCAAUAUAGUUGCUUUUCAUGGAAAAAAGGGGGGAUAAAGGGGGGGAAGGGGGGGGCUGGUGUGGGGGUGGUGUGUGUUUAUAUAGACUAAUUUGAGUGAUAAAAAAAAUGAAUUGUUCAAACUGAAUUGUUCAAACUCAAAUUAACAAAGAAAGUUAUAGUGUGAUUUCUGCAAAUCGUUGAUAGAUUAACUACUAUAUAGUCAGUUGUGAUGUUGUUGAUUUUGUGUUUAAAACUUAGAGAUGUUGUGACAACGAAAUCAAACCCAAACUUAAAAGCUUCUCAUUAAAGUAUGAAUCAAGGAACAUUGCUUUUAUGCACAUUGGUUAUUGAACCUUGUAGUUGUUCUUACUAAGAAUGAUUUUUUUAUCCACAAAUUGACAGAAAAUAAAUACUGUAGUUAAUUAAAAUUUCUUGAAAUUAGCCUACAAUUCAAUUUUUUUUUAAUGAAAAUUAAUGAUGUUUUUUGCUGAAGUUGUUCAUCAAAUUGUCAAUUGAAAUAGAUGUCCUUCACAUUUAUGCCUUUGCUUAAAUGUUUCUGAUGUCAUGCUGCUUAUCAUAUAAUGUCAUAGUGUAAGCCAAUUGUUCAACGAUGUCGUUUAUGCCAAUGGACCUUGACUACACUGGCGUAAAUUUUUCAUAAAAAAUAACUUAAGAUUUGUCUAAAGAAUUUAGGAUUUCAGUAUCUGUGGAAUUAACAAUUCUAUGGUGUGGUAUUUGCUAUUAAAAUUUUAUUAGCUUUACUAAGAAGUUUUGUUUAGGAGAUGAAGGGGUGGACAAAUCGUUUGGAAAUAUUUUGUUAUACAUAUUUUAAUUAUAAUAAAAGGAAAAAGGGCAAAAUGAUUCUUGUUGAAGCAUGAAAUGGCAGUUAACCAAGUAAUACUAUAUGCAACAUCUAUGUUUCAGAUGUAAAAUCAAGAAUAGGUAAAAGAAAAGGAGGUUAUGAUCAGACCACCCUAAUGGCAGCUGUUCAGGUUGUAUUGGAUAAAAAAAUGAGUUCCUAUAAAGCAUCUGAUUUGUUUGGAAUACCAAGGAGUACAAUCUAUGAUCGUGUUGUCAGAAGUAGAAUUUCUUUGAGUCAAAAUCAAUCGGACUAUAGUUGGACCAAAACUUUUGACAGAGACACUUUAUAAGGCAGAAGUAAAUCUGUAAUCGAUUUUCCAGUUUGCAAAUUUGUGAUUGUAAUAAAUGACUUAAGAAUGUUUAGUUUUAUGAGGCAACCAACCAUUGAUCAGAUAGUAAAACUUACUUCUUGUUGACUUCAUUUGCACAGUGUCUUGUUUAUAUAAUAUGAGAAUGAUUUUAGGUGCAUCUUGAUAGUUCAAUGUAAUUGCCAGUAAUGGACAACUUGACAUGUGAAGUGAAGAUUAAAUCCUAUGAAAGAAUUUGUUUUAAUUUUGUUGAUGUUGAAUGUUGUGCAAUGUAUUUGAAAUGUAGGCAGCUUUGAAAAUUAGUUUGCAAGUUCUUAUUUAUUUUAUUGAUUAAGGGUACAUAGUUUCCUUAAUUCUUUAAACAUUAUGUUAAUACAGUUCAUGUUGUGUUGGUUAUAUUGUAAUAAAAUUGGUUAAUGUAAAGUGUUGUUCCAUACAAAAUAAUCCAUGAAUUAUUAGAAUAAUAAGUGAACCUUAAAAAGCAUUGCCAUGAAAUGUUGAAAAAGUACAAACACUACUGGGAGAGCACUUUAUUAAAAAAAAUACAUGAUGAAAAUAAAGUGAGGUAUGAAUCAUAAAUUGGGUUACAUUGCUUAGAUUUUUCAGUAGUUGUACUAUCUUCAAGGUGAGAUAACAGUGUUUUGGUUGACUGUCUGUCUACCCAUUUCAAUAUCAUUUUAUAAACAUGUAUUUUUUUUUAAGUUAAAAAAAAUCCAAUUGAGGCUGAAAGAGAAAGUAAAAUAGUUAGAGACUAGCAUGUAUAAAUGAAGCCAUUUUGACAAAUAUCUCAAUUAACAAUAAGUUUGUUUUACACUUAUAAUAUGAAAUUGAUGUUCAGAAAAAAAUAAUAAAUGGAUAUAGAUUGUUACAGACGGACCUGUCUCCAGACAGCUUCAUAAUAAAAAUUGGAGACAAUAGAAAUAAUUCUAAUAGUUGAAAACAAAUACUGUUUUCAGUUGACUUGAUGAUUGAAUCACUAUUUUAAGAAAUGAAAAUACUUUGUGAACAUGUUAUAAUCUGAAGAAACUUGAUUUAAAUAGCGAAAUCUUUGAUGGAUUUUUUUUUAUGUGUUUUGAAAAAUUCUACUUGUGAAUGAAAAUUGAUGAGAUGUUGGGGAAAAUAAGAUUAGUUCUCAUUUGCACAGUUCAAAUUGUUUGCCAUUUCAAAUUUUGUGUGAUUUGUAAUGAUCUUUUGUCAUCCCUUUCAAAUCUGUAUUAGACUUUGGAUCCCACUGUAUUGUUGCUUUUUACUUGAUUAAAAGAACAUUUUGUCCUAAUUCACUGUCCAGUGAAUUUAUCGAUAAAUACUAGUUGAAACAAAGAAGAGAGACAUGAUGAAACUUGCAGUAGAAUUCCAGUAAACUUUUAUAAAAACUUGUUGAUGCAUUUGAAGAACAAGACUGAAAAAGAAAUAAAAACAUGUAUUUAUGUUGACUUUGAAUAGUUAAGCCUCUAUCAAGCUUUGGUGUAUUUAAAGUAUUGUAGAACAUUUGUUAACCAAGCUAUACAUGUCUUUCAGAAUUCGCCAAUGCUGAUUUUACAACUCCAGAAAUUAUUCCAAGAAGAAGAUCAUAUGAUCUCAACAGUUUAUUGAUGGCCGUUCAAGCUGUCAAAUCCAAGACUAUGAGCCGUUCUCGUGCAUGUGAAUAUUACGGUGUUCCCCGUACAACAGUUUAUGAUUGGAUUGCAAGAGAAAAGCGGGAAACACAAGCCAAAUUAAAUAAACAAAUUCAUGACAUUGUCAUUAAUGAUCCCAUGUUUACAAGACCAAUGGCUCCACCUAAGGAAUUUGAUCCGGCUUCGAGAACUGAAUCUGACUUUAUACAUGAGCAAACUUUCAGUGAAUCUAUGUUUAUAAGACCUGCCCCUAGAUCAGAAGAAUUUGAUAAGACGCUCAGAAUUGAAUCUAAUUUAAAAGAAAAUGAUGAAUUUAUUAAAACAUCUAAUGAACAUGAAGAUGAACAGAAUGAUAAUAAUUGA
rnacentral:lncRNA from 1 species